rnacentral:rRNA from 1 species
CCCUGGUUGAUCCUGCCAGUAGUUAUAUGCUUGUCUCAAAGAUUAAGCCAUGCAUGUCUCAGUGCAAGCCGUAUUAAGGCGAUACCGCGAAUGGCUCAAUAUAUCAGUUGUGGUUCCUUAGAUCUUACUUCAGUUACUUGGAUAACUGUGGUAAUUCUAGAGCUAAUACAUGCAAUCAGAACUCUGACCAGUGAUGGGAUGAGUGCUUUUAUUAGAUCAAAACCAAUCGACGGAGGGCCUCGCGUCCGAAGUCGUUAAUUUUGAUGAAUCUGGAUAACUUUUGUCGAUCGCAUGGUCCAGCACCGGCGACGUAUCUUUCAAAUGUCUGCCUUAUCAACUUUCGAUGGUAGUUUCUGCGACUACCAUGGUUGUCACGGGUAACGGGGAAUCAGGGUUCGAUUCCGGAGAGGGAGCCUGAGAAACGGCUACCACAUCCAAGGAAGGCAGCAGGCGCGCAAAUUACCCACUCCCGGCACGGGGAGGUAGUGACGAAAAAUAACGAUACGGGACUCUUACGAGGCCUCGUAAUCGGAAUGAGUACACUUUAAAUAUUUUAACGAGGAACAAUUGGAGGGCAAGUCUGGUGCCAGCAGCCGCGGUAAUUCCAGCUCCAAUAGCGUAUACUAAAAUUGUUGCGGUUAAAAAGCUCGUAGUUGCAUUUGUGCGCCGCGCUGUCGGUGCACCGCAUCCGCGGUGAUACUGACACGUCUGCGGAGCAUAUCGUCGGUGAGCCGGGGCGGUAAAACGUCUCGGUUCAAUAUCAAAAUCCUAUCGCGGUGCUCUUCGGUGAGUGUCGAGAUGGGCCGACAAUUUUACUUUGAACAAAUUAGAGUGCUCAAAGCGGGCUAAAAAUGCCGCUUGAAUAUUUCGUGCAUGGAAUAAUAGAAUAUGAUCUCGGUUCUAUUUUGUUGGUUUUCAGAACUCCGAGGUAAUGAUUAAUAGGGAUAACUGGGGGCAUUCGUAUUGCGACGUUAGAGGUGAAAUUCUUGGAUCGUCGCAAGACGAACAUCAGCGAAAGCAUUUGCCAAAGGUGUUUUCAUCAAUCAAGAACGAAAGUUAGAGGUUCGAAGGCGAUUAGAUACCGCCCUAGUUCUAACCGUAAAUAUGUCGUCUAGCGAUCCGCCGACGUUACUACAAUGGCUCGGCGGGCAGCUUCCGGGAAACCAAAGAUUUUGGACUCCGGGGGGAGUAUGGUUGCAAAGCUGAAACUUAAAGGAAUUGACGGAAGGGCACCACCAGGAGUGGAGCCUGCGGCUUAAUUUGACUCAACACGGGAAAUCUCACCAGGCCCGGACACCGGAAGGAUUGACAGAUUAACAGCUCUUUCUUGAUUCGGUGGGUGGUGGUGCAUGGCCGUUCUUAGUUGGUGGAGCGAUUUGUCUGGUUAAUUCCGGUAACGAACGAGACUCUAGCCUGCUAAAUAGGCGUCGUCAUUUAGGUGUGCGGUGUAUACCUCGCGUGUCACGCAACUCACUGGCGACGUAUUAAAAUUCUUCUUAGAGGGACCGGCGGCUUCGAGCCGCACGAGAUUGAGCAAUAACAGGUCUGUGAUGCCCUUAGAUGUCCUGGGCCGCACGCGCGCUACACUGAAGGAAUCAGCAUGUUCUCCCUGGCCUAGAGGCCCGGGCAACCCGUUGAAACUCCUUCGUGCUGGGGAUUGGGGUUUGCAAUUAUCCCCCAUAAACGAGGAAUUCCUAGUAAGCGCGAGUCAUAAGCUCGCGUUGAUUACGUCCCUGCCCUUUGUACACACCGCCCGUCGCUACUACCGAUUGAAUGAUUUAGUGAGGUCUUCGGACCGACACGCGGUGGCUUCACGGCCGUCGGCGCUGCUGGGAAGUUGACCAAACUUGAUCAUUUAGAGGAAGUAAAAGUCGUAACAAGGUUUCCGUAGGGGAACCUGCGGAAG